GUCGGCCGGGGUUUGAACUCACAACCUACCCAUUUCAAGUUAACUGCUAUGAAAUGUUGAUAUUGCGUGAGCAGGUGAAUAAAAGGUGUCCUCACGUUGGUGUAUCCCUGCACACACAGGAUCUGGUCCAGCAGCGUGGAGAAGCAGGUGAACACGGCCACGCCCGAGCCAAAGCACAGCAGCAGCAGGUACGCUCGGUUCCUCAGCAGCUGGGCGGGACAAGGACAAAGGGCGGCGAGUCAGUGCAGGAUGUUUCCUACCAGUUUGAAGCCAUGUCUGAAGGGUUCGGAGGUGGAAUGUUCUGCGCUGGCCGAUGGCGGCGUCGGGGGGGGGGGCACUGCACCGCAUGCCCAUGGUGACGAGGAAACAGCUGACGCAGGCAACAACGGCAUAGACCAACAUCUGAAGGAUGACAGGGAAAAAAAGCUCCAUCCCCCUGGAAAAGAAGGAAAGAAGGGAAGAAUAAUGUGGAUUUAUUGAGGAGAAAGAGAAGUAAAUAUUUGGUGGCGUUUAAGAAGUGUUUGUGUUCCACCUGCAUGACAAGAUGAGGACUUUUUUUAAGGCAGCCCUUCCAACAAGAAGAAGGUGAGGACAUGUUUGAGGCAGCACUUCCAACAAGAAGAAGAUGAGGACAUGUUUGAGGCAGCACUUCCAACAAGAAGAAGAUGAGGACAUGUUUGAGGCAGCACUUCCAACAAGAAGAAGAUGAGGACAUGUUUGAGGCAGCACUUCCAACAGGAAGAAGAUGAGGACAUGUUUGAGGCAGCACUUCCAACAAGAAGAAGAUGAGGACAUGUUUGAGGCAGCACUUCCAACAAGAAGAAGAUGAGGACAUGUUUGAGGCAGCACUUCCAACAAGAAGAAGAUGAGGACAUGUUUGAGGCAGCACUUCCAACAAGAAGAAGAUGAGGACAUGUUUGAGGCAGCACUUCCAACAAGAAGAAGAUGAGGACAUGUUUGAGGCAGCACUUCCAACAAGAAGAAGAUGAGGACAUGUUUGAGGCAGCACUUCCAACAGGAAAAAGAUGAGGACAUGUUUGAGGCAGCACUUCCAACAGGAAAAAGAUGAGGACAUGUUUGAGGCAGCACUUCCAACAAGAAGAAGAUGAGGACAUGUUUGAGGCAGCACAUCCAACAAGAAGAAGAUGAGGACAUGUUUGAGGCAGCACUUCCAACAGGAAGAAGAUUAGGACAUGUUUGAGGCAGCACAUCCAACAAGAAGAAGAUGAGGACAUGUUUGAGGCAGCACUUCCAACAAGAAGAAGAUGAGGACAUGUUUGAGGCAGCACUUCCAACAGGAAGAAGAUGAGGACAUGUUUGAGGCAGCACUUCCAACAAGAAGAAGAUGAGGACAUGUUUGAGGCAGCACUUCCAACAAGAAAAAGAUGAGGACAUGUUUGAGGCAGCACUUCCAACCAGGAAGAAGAUGAGGACAUGUUUGAGGCAGCACUUCCAACAAGAAGAAGAUGAGGACAUGUUUGAGGCAGCACAUCCAACAAGAAGAAGAUGAGGACAUGUUUGAGGCAGCACUUCCAACAGGAAGAAGAUGAGGACAUGUUUGAGGCAGCACAUCCAACAAGAAGAAGAUGAGGACAUGUUUGAGGCAGCACUUCCAACAGGAAGAAGAUUAGGACAUGUUUGAGGCAGCACUUCCAACAAGAAGAAGAUGAGGACAUGUUUGAGGCAGCACUUCCAACAAGAAGAAGAUGAGGACAUGUUUGAGGCAGCACUUCCAACAGGAAAAAGAUGAGGACAUGUUUGAGGCAGCACUUCCAACAAGAAGAAGAUGAGGACAUGUUUGAGGCAGCACAUCCAACAAGAAGAAGAUGAGGACAUGUUUGAGGCAGCACUUCCAACAGGAAGAAGAUUAGGACAUGUUUGAGGCAGCACAUCCAACAAGAAGAAGAUGAGGACAUGUUUGAGGCAGCACUUCCAACAAGAAGAAGAUGAGGACAUGUUUGAGGCAGCACUUCCAACAGGAAGAAGAUGAGGACAUGUUUGAGGCAGCACUUCCAACAAGAAGAAGAUGAGGACAUGUUUGAGGCAGCACUUCCAACAAGAAAAAGAUGAGGACAUGUUUGAGGCAGCACUUCCAACCAGGAAGAAGAUGAGGACAUGUUUGAGGCAGCACUUCCAACAAGAAGAAGAUGAGGACAUGUUUGAGGCAGCACAUCCAACAAGAAGAAGAUGAGGACAUGUUUGAGGCAGCACUUCCAACAGGAAGAAGAUUAGGACAUGUUUGAGGCAGCACAUCCAACAAGAAGAAGAUGAGGACAUGUUUGAGGCAGCACUUCCAACAGGAAGAAGAUUAGGACAUGUUUGAGGCAGCACUUCCAACAAGAAGAAGAUGAGGACAUGUUUGAGGCAGCACUUCCAACAGGAAGAAGAUGAGGACAUGUUUGAGGCAGCACUUCCAACAAGAAGAAGAUGAGGACAUGUUUGAGGCAGCACUUCCAACAAGAAGAAGAUGAGGACAUGUUUGAGGCAGCACUUCCAACAGGAAGAAGAUUAGGACAUGUUUGAGGCAGCACUUCCAACAGGAAGAAGAUUAGGACAUGUUUGAGGCAGCACUUCCAACAAGAAGAAGAUGAGGACAUGUUUGAGGCAGCACUUCCAACAAGAAGAAGAUGAGGACAUGUUUGAGGCAGCACUUCCAACAAGAAGAAGAUGAGGACAUGUUUGAGGCAGCACAUCCAACAAGAAGAAGAUGAGGACAUGUUUGAGGCAGCACUUCCAACAAGAAGAAGAUGAGGACAUGUUUGAGGCAGCACUUCCAACAGGAAGAAGAUUAGGACAUGUUUGAGGCAGCACUUCCAACAGGAAGAAGAUGAGGACAUGUUUGAGGCAGCACAUCCAACAGGAAGAAGAUGAGGACAUGUUUGAGGCAGCACUUCCAACAGGAAGAAGAUGAGGACAUGUUUGAGGCAGCACUUCCAACAGGAAGAAGAUGAGGACAUGUUUGAGGCAGCACUUCCAACAGGAAGAAGAUGAGGACAUGUUUGAGGCAGCACUUCCAACAGGAAGAAGAUGAGGACAUGUUUGAGGCAGCACUUCCAACAGGAAGAAGAUGAGGACAUGUUUGAGGCAGCACUUCCAACAGGAAGAAGAUGAGGACAUGUUUGAGGCAGCACUUCAAACAAGAAGAAGGACUAGAAGUGACGUCAUACCUGAGGUGAGUGCAAACUGUGAAAGAGGUGACUUGUCUUAAAGCGACAGUACACCCGUUUAAAUGAGUGACAUGCAAUGAAAGAUGUCUCGGAGACAAGAAGAAGGACAAGUAGUCUUAAAGUAAUAAUAUUCAUGGCUGAAAAACUGCAAAAGAA